CAAGGGUUGGGCUGUUCGCCCAUUAAAGCGGUACGUGAACUGGGUUCAGAACGUCGCGAGACAGUUCGGUCCCUAUCUGCGGUGGGCGUAGGAGACUUGAGGGGGGCUGCCCCUAGUACGAGAGGACCGGGGUGGACGGACCUCUUGUGAUCCAGUUGUCCCGCCAGGGGCAUAGCUGGGUAGCGAAGUCCGGUCGGGAUAAGCGCUGAACGCAUAUAAGCGCGAAGCCCUCCCCAAGAUGAGGUCUCCCAAGCGGGUAAUGCCGCUAAGAAGGGCCCUGGUAGACUACCAGGUUGAUAGGGCGGGUGUGUAAGCGCAGCAAUGCGUUGAGCUAACCGCUACUAAUCGCCCGUUCGGCUUGACCGU
rnacentral:rRNA from 1 species